CAAAGAGCCAUCGGUUAUUCCUGCGCGAUUGGUACCGGUAACCGGCUUCAUACCGCCAUCGCGUCGUCGGAAAAAGUUUUCUGGCAAACGCACGAGGUGCAAAAAGUGCUUUAGCAAGCGAGUGGCGAAAAGUGAUUCGGGGGGAGUGCGGCGCAGAUCCCGACCGCUAGGAAAAGCACUAGUGCAGAUCCAGACCGCCAGAAAAAGCACUCGAGCAAAUCCCGACCGCUAGGAAACGCACUCAGAGAUUCGAGCGUUUGCUUCGUAGAAACGUGUGAAAACCACCCCUUCUUCCGUUCGGCAGAAGCAAUUUUCCAUCCAUUCCGGUGGACCAAAGCCGCCAAGAGCAUUCGUCGAUUUGAACAGGUUUCAGCGGACAGAAGAACUCCAUUCCGAAGAUUUGACGAAGACGGUUCCCGUGACACAGCAAACGACGACGACCUGUCGCCUCGGAGGGACCCCAUCCAGCAACCCGGUCGUACUGGACGGCCAGAGGGGUCUCCAGCAGAGGAGUAUCGGCGGUGCGAACAUCGAGAGUGGCAGGCGAGACUCGCGGCGGCGAGAUGAUCGCAGCACAGGCGAAACGUAGGGGGACGCCCCGUUAGGUGGUACCGUGAGUACUGAACAAAUUAGUUUGUAAGAUGGAAGAAGUAGAGAAGAAGAAGUAAGACGAAGAGAGUAGGGAUGAGAAGGCAGUGAGAGGAAGAUUAGGGCAAUAUAUAUAUAUGUAUUGAUUUGA